CAACAGGGAUUGCCCUAGUAACGGCGAGUGAAGCGGCAACAGCUCAAAUUUGAAAUCUGGCUUCGGCCCGAGUUGUAAUUUGUAGAGGAUGCUUUUGGUGCGGUGCCUUCUGAGUUCCCUGGAACGGGACGCCAUAGAGGGUGAGAGCCCCGUAUAGUUGGACACCUAGCCUCUGUAAAGCUCCUUCGACGAGUCGAGUAGUUUGGGAAUGCUGCUCAAAAUGGGAGGUAAAUGCCUUCUAAAGCUAAAUACUGGCCAGAGACCGAUAGCGCACAAGUAGAGUGAUCGAAAGAUGAAAAGCACUUUGAAAAGAGGGUUAAACAGCACGUGAAAUUGUUGAAAGGGAAGCGCUUGUGACCAGACUUGCGCCAGGUGGAUCAUCCAGCGUUCUCGCUGGUGCACUCUGCCUGGUUCAGGCCAGCAUCGGUUUUCUCAGUGGGAUAAAGGCUCUGGGAAUGUAGCUCCUCCGGGAGUGUUAUAGCCCGUUGCACAAUACCUCUGAGGGGACCGAGGUUCGCGCUCUGCAAGGAUGCUGGCGUAAUGGUCAUCAGCGGCCCGUCUUGAAACACGGACCAAGGAGUCAAGCAUUAGGGCGAGUGUUUGGGUGCAAAACCCGCACGCGUAAUGAAAGUGAACGUAGGUGAGAGCUUCGGCGCAUCAUCGACCGAUCCUGAUGUAUUCGGAUGGAUUUGAGUAAGAGCCUUACCGCUUGGACCCGAAAGAUGGUGAACUAUGCUUGUAUAGGGUGAAGCCAGAGGAAACUCUGGUGGAGGCUCGCAGCGGUUCUGACGUGCAAAUCGAUCGUCAAAUAUGAGCAUGGGG
rnacentral:rRNA from 1 species